ensembl:lncRNA
CACAGCAGAAGUCGUUUACGGUUCCCUUUACUACAGAACAUGUUUAUACCUUGUUACAUGACGCCAUAUUUCUGUCUCUAUGGCCCGGUGCUCUGUUCCACCCGGAUGAGCACACUCCUAGUGGACAUUCUGUAGUGCCUUUAACAUUCCAAACGGGUACUAAGCCAGCGAGGGACACGCGUGUUCUAGGCUAUGAAACAGUUCAUCGUCCAAUGUGCCUUAUCUACAUCGCUCAAAGAAGCUUGCAAAGUCAUUCACCUGUGGUGAAAAGAAAACGGCAUAUGUCGCCAAAUAUGGCAUCGCCUCAUUCAUCAAAAAGCAGCUAUCGCGCAGCGUUAGUGAGAAACCAUAUGUUGUCAUGUUUGACACACGUAUGAAUAAAAGGACAAAGAGCAAACAAAUGGACCUUCAUUUGCGAUUCUGGACGACUGAUGAUGAGACUGGCACACCCCACGUCAUCUCCCGCUACUAGGGGUCGGAGUUCAUGGGUCGCUCCAGAGCUGAGGACAUGUUGGGUCAUUUCAAUAAAGGAGCUGAAUCUGAACAAUAUGCUAUAUCUCUGUCAAUGGACCCGCUGUUAACUGUAAGUUUGUUGAACUCUUGCAAGAGGAACACAGAGAGCAGUGUGGUGGAGCCCAACUACAAAUAAUUGGGAGUUGUGGCCUUCACACGAUGCACAACUCGUUCAAGAACGGUUUUGCGGUGUGGCAAGUUGAGAAAGUCCUGAAAGCCCUGCACUACCUGUUUCAUUGUGCUCCUGCAAGGAGAGAAGACUUUGUUAGGGACCAAGUGUGAUACAUUUCCUUUGCCAUGUUGUGGACAUCAAUGGCUGGAAAACCUUCCAGCAGUGCAGAGAGCCAUUGAAAUGUGGCCAUAUAUUGUCACCUAUGUGGAUCAGGUCAAAGCCAAGAAGCUCCCCAAUCCAAGGUCAUCGUCAUGUGACACCAUCACAGAAGCCCGGAUGAUCCUUUAAUCUUGGCAAAGUUGCACUUCUUCAUGAGUGUCUCAAGAAGUUUUCAGCCAUUUCCCACCAAGUACCAGACAGAUGUCCCGAUGAUUCCCUUCCUCGGCAGGGAUUGAGGAUCUAAUCAGGACGCUUCAUAAAGCGAGACGUCCAGGUUGAUGUUGCCCCAGUAAAGCUGGUCAAGUUUGAUGUGACAGACCAAAAGCUUUGGGUCAGUCCAAAGCAAGUGGGCAUUGGCAUGGGAGCCACAGCUGCCCUCAAGGUGAUACGAUUGCCCAACAAUUUCAGAAGUUGCUCUUCAGUGAGGCCAGAGGAGAGGAAUUCAUGGCCUUCAGUGCAUUGGAUGGAAAAUCGCGAGUUGACAGCUUCCUGCAUACGGCCAUGAAUGGAUAUGCAGAACUUGCAGAACUUGCUGCUGCUUCUGUCCCAUGGACAAGCUACUGUGGAGCGUGGGUUCUCCAUUAACAAGGAGGUGGAGAUGUGCAAUAUGAACGAAGACACUAUAGUCUCACAGAGACUAAUCUGCGACUAUGUGAGGAUGUGUGGUGGAGUGGUCAAAGUGCCAUUGACUAAAGAGCUGCUAAAUGAGGUUGCAUCUGCACGCAACCGGUACAGGAUCUUCUUGGAAGAUGAGAGGAAGAAAAAAGAAAAGACAAAACAGACGAACAAAGAGAAAAGGGGUUGAAGACGAGCUUGAAGAGCUACGCAAGAAAAGAAGAACAAUCAACUGUGUGUGAAACUCUAGAAAAGGACGCAGAGAAGGCUGAGAAUACAGCAGGGACCAAGAUGGCAGAACUUAGACCUUUCUAUUCAUUGGUUUCUCUCAUGAAGAGUCAUGUGAUAACAUUUGUGUUUUCAAGCAGUUACUAUUUUCAUUAUUCAAUAUGGUUCCUUCAUGCAAUGCGUUGUGUUGUUUAGUGUGUUAUGUUGGCUCUGUUCUGCAUCACAAAGGAAUCACUUUGAUUGUUACAUCUAUAUUGGCCAAACAGUGUUGGAAGGGUUAUUGUCAGUUAUUAUACUGUCUCCUAAUUUGAGAAAAAGUUUUGAUUUCCAUUGUAGGAGGCAAUAAAUUGCGUAUUCCAAAGAAAUUGUGACAUUUUUGGGUCUUACAUUAUAUUGGUUGAGGUCUUAAAAAGCAUUAAAUUUUACUUUUGAAAUGGUGCAAGAACCCUGCGAUGUGUAUGUACCUCCAGAAUAACCCGGAUGACGCGCAUUGAUGAGUCUUCUCUGCACGUUGUUAUUUUGCAAUGUUGUGUGGGAAACAUUAGAUCGAGUGCACGGGUACGUAGUAGAAGUAGUAGUACUUUUUCCUAGUAGAGUCACUACUAGAAGUAGUAUUUUAGUACUACUACUAGGAGUCAUUUUAAUAGUAGUAGAAAUACUACUAGAAGUAGUGAUAGUAAUAGUAUCAUUUGUAGUAGUACUGCUAGUUGUAG